rnacentral:rRNA from 1 species
UACGUAGGGGGCAAGCGUUGUCCGGAUUUAUUGGGCGUAAAGAGCGUGUAGGCGGCCAGGUAGGUCCGUUGUGAAAACUGGAGGCUUAACCUCCAGCUGUCGAUGGAAACCAUCUGGCUAGAGUCCGGAAGAGGAGAGUGGAAUUCCUGGUGUAGCGGUGAAAUGCGCAGAUAUCAGGAAGAACACCCGUGGCGAAGGCGGCUCUCUGGGACGGUACUGACGCUGAGACGCGAAAGCGUGGGGAG